rnacentral:rRNA from 1 species
GACAGAGGGGGCAAGCGUUGCUCGGAAUUACUGGGCGUAAAGGGCGCGUAGGCGGGAUGGCAAGUCGGUCGUGAAAUCCCUCGGCUCAACUGAGGAUCGUCGAUCGAUACUGCCGUUCUUGAGGAUUGCAGAGGAGACUGGAAUUCCCGGUGUAGCGGUGAAAUGCGCAGAUAUCAGGAGGAACACCGGUGGCGAAGGCGGGUCUCUGGGCCGAUACUGACGCUGAGGAGCGAAAGCGUGGGGAGCGAACAGG